GAAAGUAAAGUAGAUAAAGGUAAAGCAAUAAAAACCUGCUCCAAUUGGAGGGUUGAAUAAAAUGCGAAACAGAAAUAAAAUGGCGGCAGGAUUAACUUCCUUCCAAAGUGCUCCAAACUCGAUUACAGACUCGAUCACAUACUCGAUUACACAAUUGUGGCAACACCUCGAUGUGAAGCGAUUACCACUUUAAAAUACUGAAUAUAUGCCUAAGUGAAACUAAG
rnacentral:lncRNA from 1 species